GAUUAAACAAUUAAAAGCUUUCUUUAAUUAAAUAAUUGAAUUUAAUUUUUUAGUGCAAAAGCAAAAAUAAAAAUUAGGGACAAGAAGACCCUAUGAAUUUUUUAUUAAAUUUUAUAAAACUUUAUAUAAAAUUUAAUUUAAUUGGGGGGAUGGAAAAAGAAUAAAUAUCUUUUUUUUAAAAGAAAAUUGGUUCCGUUUUUAGCGAUUAAAUGAAAAAAAUACUCUAGGGAUAACAGCGUAAUAAUUUUGGAUAGUUCAUAUAGAUAAAAUAGUUUGCGACCUCGAUGUUGGAUUAGGAUUCUUUUUUGGGGAAAAAGUUAAAAAAAGAAGUUUGUUCAACUUAUAAUUUCCUACUUG
rnacentral:rRNA from 1 species